UAUUGUUGUUUUUAUGGAGGCUGGGAAGACCUAGAAUGUGGCAUCACUAUUUGGUAAGAACCUUCCUAUGUCAUUGUAGAGUGAGGGACUUGGGUACCACAUGGCAAGGCAUAGUACCCAAAUCCCUUUCCUUCAUAAAAGUAUUAAUGUCAUCAAAGAGGCCCCACCACCAUGAUGCCAUCUGGGGCCUCAUGACCCCAAUGCCUGAUGCCAAAGACUCCCACCUCAAAAUACUUUUUUCUUCAGCAUAACAUUUUAUUAAUUAUCUGGGAAUUUCACAUCAUGUACUCCAAUCACACUCAGUUCCCAGUCCUUCCAUGUCAGCCCCCACCCUUGUUACUUGCCCCCCAAAAGAGGAAAAUUAAAACUAAGAAUUAAAAAAAAUUAAAAAAAUUAAAAUACACAAGUCCAAUUUAUGUUACCUAUAUACUCACUGAAGCAUGGUCAGAUUCUCAGUGGCCUGGCCCUUAAAUAGAAGUGAGUCUUCCCCCUCCUGCAUCUGAAGCCAUUAAUUGCGUAGAG
rnacentral:lncRNA from 1 species